UGGCUCUCGCAUCGAUGAAGAACGCAGCGAAAUGCGAUAAGUAAUGUGAAUUGCAGAAUUCAGUGAAUCAUCGAAUCUUUGAACGCACCUUGCGCUCCUUGGUAUUCCGAGGAGCAUGCCUGUUUGAGUGUCAUUAAAUUCUCAACCUUAUCAGCUUUUGCUGAUAGUGGCUUGGAUGUGGGGGUUUAUUGCUGGCUUCUUAAUGAGGUCAGCUCCUCUUAAUUGUAUUAGCUGGUUGCCUUGUGCGGACUGUCUAUUAGUGUGAUAAUUAUCUACGCUGUUGACUUUCUGCCAGUAUAUAGCACUGCUUCAAACUGUCUGUUAAAUCAGACAAUAUAUGACAAUUUGACCUCAAAUCAGGUAGGACUGCCCGCUGA
rnacentral:misc_RNA from 1 species